CCCUUAGAUGUUCUGGGCAGCACGCGCGCUACAAUGGUCUUCGCAAACGGAUGCAUUCUCGAAGGAGAAUGCCAAUCUUGGAAUCUAUGCCUUGGUCGGGACAGUUGCUUGCAAUUUUUCGACUCGAACCAGGAAUUCCUUGUAAUCGUGAUUCAUCACAUCACGAUGAAUACGUCCCUGCCCUUUGUACACACCGCCCGUCGCUCCUACCGAUUGAAUGAUCCGGUGAAAUCUCAGGACUGGUGACUCUUGUUGGUUCGCCAACGAUAGUCACCGGGAAUUUGCUUAAACCUUAUCAUUUAGAGGAAGGAGAAGUCGUAACA
rnacentral:rRNA from 1 species